UACGUAGGUGGCAAGCGUUAUCCGGAUUUACUGGGUGUAAAGGGCGUGUAGGCGGGACUGCAAGUCAGAUGUGAAAAUUAUGGGCUCAACCCAUAACCUGCAUUUGAAACUGUAGUUCUUGAGUGAUGGAGAGGCAGGCGGAAUUCCGUGUGUAGCGGUGAAAUGCGUAGAUAUACGGAGGAACACCAGUGGCGAAGGCGGCCUGCUGGACAUUAACUGACGCUGAGGCGCGAAAGCGUGGAGAGCAAACAGG
rnacentral:rRNA from 1 species